AUGGUAAUUGGCAUUGGUGCAACCAUCCCAUUGUCACCUAAGUUUGCUCAUUUGGUUGAUUCUGCCAGACCUAGUUUUGGUAAAGAAGAGAGUAAGCUCACAUCAAAUGAUAGUUCUGGUCUGAUGGUGCAGAAAGGGGGAACAGCGGGGCCUUCUAAAGUGUCUUCUGGAUU